CCUACGGGAGGCAGCAGUGAGGAAUAUUGGUCAAUGGACGCAAGUCUGAACCAGCCAUGCCGCGUGCAGGAAGACGGCUCUAUGAGUUGUAAACUGCUUUUGUACGAGGGUAAACGCAGAUACGUGUAUCUGUCUGAAAGUAUCGUACGACUAAGGAUCGGCUAACUCCGUGCCAGCAGCCGCGGGAAUACGGAGGAUUCAAGCGUUAUCCGGAUUUAUUGGGUUUAAAGGGUGCGUAGGCGGUCGGAUAAGUUAGAGGUGAAAUUCCGAGGCUCAACUUCGGAAUUGCCUAUGAUACUGUUCGGCUAGAGAGUAGUUGCGGUAGGCGGAAUGUAUGGUGUAGCGGUGAAAUGCUUAGAGAUCAUACAGAACACCGAUUGCGAAGGCAGCUUACCAAGCUACUUCUGACGUUGAGGCACGAAAGCGUGGGGAGCAAACAGGAUUAGAUACCCCAGUAGUC
rnacentral:rRNA from 1 species